AGCAUCUAGGAGCUUCACUCAUGGCCCAGGACCCUAUUGUGCCACUGAACAAAUACAGAACAGAAAUGAACCAAUGUGGUAUCUGGACCAGUAGAGAAAGAAAAGGACUCGGUCAAUUACAAGGGUAAGAAGCCUCAUUUUGUGUUGCAAAUGUUUACACGCAAAAAAUGGGCCAGAUCUAUGCUCAGCUUCAGGACAGCUUGGAUUCAAAUUUCCAGAAGAGGGGCUCCUUUUCCAAACACAAUCAAAGACUUUUAGUGGGCCUCACUUCAAAGGCAUGGAGGAGAUCAGACAGCACCGAUACCCCAGUCUGCCCAGAGAAGGCAGAAUGAGAGACAGACCUACCUACCUUUUCAAAAUGCUGGGACACCGAGUAAACUGAGGAACAUCCUGGAAUUUGGGGAUAAGCAACCAAUCUAGUAUACAGCUAGACAGGAUAAGAAUGCUACUAACGGGUGUCCGUGAAAGUGCCAAUGACCCAUCUGAGAAAGGGGAGGAGGAAGCAAUCUCCGGGACAGAUCCUUCUGAAUCUGUUGGUCACAGGCCUGCCUGUAAUCUCCCAUAUAUAACUGAGCAGGCAAUAUCUCUACAGGAUAUGGCUGGAAAGCAUCCAGUUCCUGCACAAGAGAAACAAAAGGAUUAAUACAGUUGAAAGAACUAUCUAUUUACCUUCAUAUAUCUAUUUCUAUAUCUAUUUGCCUUCAUCUUAGCUUGGGAAGUUCUUAAACCUGAAUCCUGAGAAGCCAUGAACCAGUACUAAGUCAAUGUCCUGCACCUACAUUCAAACAGAAAUGAGGUACAUUCAUUUAAUUGGACAGAUAUUCUGAAGAACAGACUUUAUCCCUAGACUCAGUCAAUGAAAUGAACAUGGUCACUGACAAUGUGGCCCUGCUGGAAUAAAAAAAAAAAGAAUAAGAGAUAGACUAUGUCCUUUGUAAUGCAGAUCACUUGUAAGCCACCUUAUUAAGCCAGCACAUGACACUGGACCACUGCACAGGCCAGCAACUUAUUACACAGCUUAUGUGAAAUAGAAGAAAACAGAAAGAAAAGACAUGUUGCAGUGACGUAUCACUACCUUUUUUUCUUAAGCCUUGCCCUAGAUGUUA